GAUGAACGCUGGCGGCGUGCCUAAUACAUGCAAGUCGAGCGAAUGGAUUAAGAGCUUGCUCUUAUGAAGUUAGCGGCGGACGGGUGAGUAACACGUGGGUAACCUGCCCAUAAGACUGGGAUAACUCCGGGAAACCGGGGCUAAUACCGGAUAACAUUUUGAACCGCAUGGUUCGAAAUUGAAAGGCGGCUUCGGCUGUCACUUAUGGAUGGACCCGCGUCGCAUUAGCUAGUUGGUGAGGUAACGGCUCACCAAGGCAACGAUGCGUAGCCGACCUGAGAGGGUGAUCGGCCACACUGGGACUGGGACACGGCCCAGACUCCUACGGGAGGCAGCAGUAGGGAAUCUUCCGCAAUGGACGAAAGUCUGACGGAGCAACGCCGCGUGAGUGAUGAAGGCUUUCGGGUCGUAGAACUCUGUUGUUAGGGAAGAACAAGUGCUAGUUGAAUAAGCUGGCACCUUGACGGUAACUAACCAGAAAGCCACGGCUAACUACGUGCCAGCCGCCGCAGUAA
rnacentral:rRNA from 1 species